ensembl:snRNA U6 U6 spliceosomal RNA
GUGCUCAUUUUGGCAGCACAUAGACUAAAAUUGGAAUGAUACAGAGAAGAUUAGCAGGGCCUCUGCAUAAGGAUGACAUGCAAAUUCAUGAAGUGCUCCAUAUUUAG